rnacentral:sRNA from 12 species
CCUGUCGCUUGACCAAAGGCAGAAUGCACCAAAGCGUAAAACAAUCUGAUUGGGUGAGUUGGUCGCACCACCAAAGAGAGAACGAAAGCCGACACGCCUGCUGACCCUGUGCAUUGGGUGGCAGGUAUGGCGGUUAGUAGCGUUCGCCCACGACACAGGC